UACGAAGGGGGCGAGCGUUGUCCGGAUUUACUGGGCGUAAAGGGCGCGUAGGCGGCCUCUGCAAGUCGACUGUGAAAUCUCCGGGCUUAACCCGGAACGGUCAGCCGAUACUGCAGGGCUAGAGUGCAGAAGGGGCAACCGGAAUUCUCGGUGUAGCGGUGAAAUGCGUAGAUAUCGAGAGGAACACCUGCGGCGAAGGCGGGUUGCUGGGCUGACACUGACGCUGAGGCGCGAAAGCUAGGGGAGCGAACGGG
rnacentral:rRNA from 1 species